CGACCAUCCCGAGCGGCCGAGUGACGUGGCACGUCGACGCCGCAGCAACCCUGUGCCGCAGGGUGCUCCCGCCACGACCGAUGGAGG
rnacentral:ncRNA from 2 species